AACGCACAUUGCGCCUCAUGGUACUCCGUGAGGCAUACCUGUUCGAGCGUCGUUUGACCCUAAGGCGUUGCCUUGCGUUGGCGGAUCUUGCGCGAGCGAGACUGCCGAAAUACAAUGGCACGAGUGUUUGUCUCACGCAGUGAAAUGCCGAAGGACGGACACGAGUGCUCGAAAGCUCUCAUGUUUGAGAUCAUGGUCGACCUCGGAUCAGGUAAGAUUACCCGCUGAACUUAA
rnacentral:misc_RNA from 1 species